UACGAAGGGUGCAAGCGUUAAUCGGAAUUACUGGGCGUAAAGCGUGCGUAGGCGGUACGUUAAGUCUGCCGUGGAAGCCCUGGGCUCAACCUGGGAACUGCGGUGGAUACUGGCGUGCUCGAGUGCGGUAGAGGAGGGUGGAAUUCCCGGUGUAGCGGUGAAAUGCGUAGAGAUCGGGAGGAACAUCAGUGGCGAAGGCGGCCCUCUGGACCAGCACUGACGCUGAGGCACGAAAGCGUGGGGGGAGCAAACAGGAUUAGAUACCCUGGUAGUCCACGCCCUAAACGAUGCGAACUGGAUGUUGGGCACAUUACGGUGCUCAGUGUCGAAGCUAACGCGUUAAGUUCGCCGCCUGGGGAGUACGGUCGCAAGACUGAAACU
rnacentral:rRNA from 1 species